rnacentral:rRNA from 1 species
GUGGACGGUCAAAGCGGCGUGGUUCCACCCGUUCCCAUUUCGAACACGGAUAGUUAAGCAUGCCCACGUUUCGGCUGGUACUGCACUUAUGUGUGGGAAAACCGGAAAGCUGUCCUCC